GAUGAACGCUGGCGGCGUGCCUAAUACAUGCAAGUCGAGCGAACAGACGAGGAGCUUGCUCCUCUGACGUUAUCGGCGGACGGGUGAGUAACACGUGGAUAACCUACCUAUAAGACUGGGAUAACUUCGGGAAACCGGAGCUAAUACCGGAGAAUAUAUUGAACCGCAUGGUUCAAUAGUGAAAGACGGUUUUGCUUUCACUUAUAGAUGGAUCCGCGCCGCAUUAGCUAGUUGGUGAGGUAACGGCUUACCAAGGCGACGAUGCGUAGCCGCACUGAGAGGGUGGUCGGCCACACUGGAAGUGAGACACGGUCCAGAAUACUACGGGAGGCAGCAGUAGGGAAUAUUCCGCAAUGGGCGAAAGACUGACGGAGCAACGCCGCGUGAGUGAUGAAGGUCUUCGGAUCGUAAAAAUCUGCUAUUAGGGAAGAACAAAUGUGUAAGUAACUAUGCACGUCUUGACGGUACCUAAUCAGAAAGCCACGGCUAACUACGUG
rnacentral:rRNA from 1 species